AGUGGACGCUGGCGGCAUGCCUAACACAUGCAAGUCGAACGAGCUUUGGCAGUUUAUCGUCAGAGUUAGUGGCAAACGGGUGAGUAAUACGUGGACAAUCUUCCCUCGAGCGGGGGAUAACUCCGGGAAACCGGAGCUAAUACCGCGUGAGACCACGUCCUGGCAUCAGGAUGAGGUUAAAGCUCCGCAAGGGGCGCUUGAGGAGGGGUUCACGGCCUAUCAGCUAGUUGGCGGGGUUAAAGCCCACCAAGGCGACGACGGGUAACCGGUCUGAAAGGACGACCGGUCACAAUGGCACUGAGACACGGGCCAUACUCCUACGGGAGGCAGCAGUGGGGAAUUUUGCGCAAUGGGGGAAACCCUGACGCAGCGAUGCCGCGUGGAGGACGAAGGUCUUCGGAUUGUAAACUCCUUUUGUCGGUGAAAAACAUUUACGUGAAUAACGUAAACUGAUUGUAUCCGGCGAAUAAGCCACGGCUAACUUCGUGCCAGCAGCCGCGGUAAGGUGACGCUCU
rnacentral:rRNA from 1 species